ACGAACGCUGGCGGCGUGCUUAACACAUGCAAGUCGAACGGAAAGGCCCUGCUUUUGUGGGGUGCUCGAGUGGCGAACGGGUGAGUAACACGUGAGUAACUUGCCCUUGACUUUGGGAUAACUUCAGGAAACUGGGGCUAAUACCGGAUAGGAGCUCCUGCUGCAUGGUGGGGGUUGGAAAGUUUCGGCGGUCGGGGAUGGACUCGCGGCUUAUCAGCUUGUUGGUGGGGUAGUGGCUUACCAAGGCUUUGACGGGUAGCCGGCCUGAGAGGGUGACCGGCCACAUUGGGACUGAGAUACGGCCCAGACUCCUACGGGAGGCAGCAGUGGGGAAUAUUGCACAAUGGGCGGAAGCCUGAUGCAGCAACGCCGCGUGCGGGAUGACGGCCUUCGGGUUGUAAACCGCUUUCGCCUGUGACGAAGCGUGAGUGACGGUAAUGGGUAAAGAAGCACCGGCUAACUACGU
rnacentral:rRNA from 1 species